rnacentral:piRNA from 1 species
UGGGACUCUUCUUUGUGCUUGCGGUC